rnacentral:tRNA from 1 species
GAGGGUAUAGCUCAGUGGUAGGGCACAUGCUUAGCAUGCACAAGGUCCAGGAUUCAAUCCCCAGUACCUCCA